GCCCGGUUAUUUCAAUCGGUAGAAUGUCAGACUCUUACCAUCUCCGAAGGAUAUCUGAAAGUUGCGGGUUCAAUCCCCGCAUCGGGCU